CGUCAUACAUAGUAUUGAAGUUCGAAACCAAAGUUUGGAUGCUCGGAUGUUCAGAAAAUGACGUCACCCAAAUAUUUUUUUCCCUCGGCGUUAUCGAUCUAUAGCAAUCGUCGACCGCCAAAAUUUCUCAGUCUAGUGACAACCGCGCAGUAGAGCGGACGGAUGAGAAUCGCGCUCCGCAGAUUUCGAGUACCGGGUCCUCUACCUCCUCGAUCCUGCGCUCCGGGUCCGCUACCAGGUGGAACUAGACUUCCAGGACAAGCGCUCCGUAGCUCAUUUGAUAGUAUUUUCUGAUGAUCUUUUUGUAUUCGAGGUAUAACUUGAGGUUGUUAGCGGUGGUCGUUGGAGGUGGUUAGGGGUGGUAGCGGGUGAUCAAGGUGGACAAGGAGGAGAACGAGGAGGACGAAGAUUUGUGCACGGAAUCGAGGUAUAACCCGCGGUGGUAAGCGGUGGUCGUUGGAGUCGGUUGGCGGUGGUUGGAGGUGGUCGGAGGUGGACGAGGAGGAGGACGAGGAAGACUAGGAGAAGAAGGUGGCUGAGGAUUUGUGCUCGGU